rnacentral:tRNA from 5 species
CGGGACGUGGCGCAGCCCGGUAGCGCACCUGAAUGGGGUUCAGGGGGUCGCCGGUUCGAAUCCGGCCGUCCCGA